GGGGGGGUGGCUCAGUAGAAGAGUGCUUACCAAGCAUGUAAGAGGCCUUGAGUUCUAUUCCCAGCAUCACAA
rnacentral:tRNA from 1 species